CUCAGCCGUUUGCAAAAAAAAAAUAAAACCAAAUGUUUUUUUUUAGGUGAGAUACGUUUUGUGUGUGACUUUUUAUGUUGCGGAGCGCGGUGGCGUAUACAAUUAAUAAAUUGUUCGUUUUUUUUUUUAAAUUUUGACACUUUUGAUUUGAUUUUAUUGUAUUUUACUGUCGAUAUUCAACGCGUUCGGGCCGCUGUUGUUGGCUAUGUUGCGCUGGCUGCCUGUCUGGCUUUGGCUCCUCUCCUACGUUCUCGCUUCUUAGCGCUCUCUGUCUCUCUAACGGCGUUCUCCAAUGCUGCGACGGCUGCUGCUGCUAUUGCUGCUCUGGUCUCUUUUUUUUUGCAAGUGUAUAGAUGAAAAAUGUAAUCGAAAUCCAAGGUGCUGAAGCUGAAACUAGUUUGAAUCACUUUUUCUUCGAUUUAUUUGUAUACAGCAUCACACACUGGUCCAAUUUGUUUGCGUUUAUAGCACGAUGUUGUUAAGCGUUUACUUUAUUGUUACUUUUGUGCUGCCAGCUUGCGCUUACGGCGUUGCAUUCUAGAGAUGGACGAUAUGUUUUCUGUUAAUUGGGCAGUGCUAAGUGUUGACUAAAUGCCGUUAGGUGGCAACAAAAAGUGUUGAAUGGUUAUUAAAUUCUGUGAAUAUCUAACGAUAUGGUAACGCCACCUUAUCGAUUAUUUUGCCAACCAGCUAGCAAAAUUCGUGUCGCAUAUUUUCAAAUUUUAUGCGCUACGGAAAAUGAUACAGAUGGACAAUUUCUAUGACGACAUGCGUCAAUUCCAGCUUAUCGUAACGUACGGGUCGGACGACAAAUUGGUUGACCAUAUACCGGUGGGCUUCUCUCUCUCUCUCUCUCUCUCGGACACUCCCAGUAUGAUAUAUAACACAGCAAAUAGAAAAUUUCAAUUCCUUUAGUAUUCAAUGUACACAAGUUUCUUGUAAAAUAGGUAAAGACAAUAAAAUGAUCCCA